UACGUAGGUGGCAAGCGUUGUCCGGAUUUACUGGGCGUAAAGAGCGCGCAGGCGGCUAAGUCAGUCGAAUGUGAAAGCCCCCCGGCUUAACUGGGGGAGGGUCAUUCGAUACUGCUCGGCUCGAAGACAGGAGAGGGAGGUGGAAUUCCCGGUGUAGUGGUGAAAUGCGUAGAUAUCGGGAGGAACACCAGUGGCGAAGGCGACUUUCUGGCCUGUUCUUGACGCUGAGGCGCGAAAGCUAGGGGAGCAAACGGGG
rnacentral:rRNA from 1 species